UGAGGAAUAUUGGUCAAUGGUCGAGAGACUGAACCAGCCAAGUCGCGUGAAGGAUGACUGCCCUAUGGGUUGUAAACUUCUUUUACAAGGGAAUAAAAUGAGAUACGUGUAUUUUAUUGCAUGUACCUUGUGAAUAAGCAUCGGCUAACUCCGUGCCAGCAGCCGCGGUAAUACGGAGGAUGCGAGCGUUAUCCGGAUUUAUUGGGUUUAAAGGGUGCGUAGGUGGGCUGUUAAGUCAGCGGUGAAAGUUUGUCGCUUAACGAUAAAAUUGCCGUUGAUACUGGUAGUCUUGAGUAUAGAUGAAGUAGGCGGAAUGCGUGGUGUAGCGGUGAAAUGCAUCGAGAUCACGCAGAACUCCGAUUGCGAAGGCAGCUUACUAAGUUAUAGCUGACACUGAAGCACGAAAGCGUGGGUAUCAAACAGG
rnacentral:rRNA from 1 species